ACGAGCGACCCAUUUCGAGUUUAGGUAGUUUAUCUGGGGCGGAGGCCUACAAAACCGAAACGGGUGGUGCGCAAAUAGAAGGAGUAUAAACGGGUCCAUGUCGAUUCUCGCCUGACUGCAAGCUGGAACGAGGCGAGCAGGGACUAUCUGGCUCUUUGUUUAUACGGCGCCCUUGUCGGCCAGAGGGAACCGGGCACUACUAUGUAUAGUUGGGGGUGGGCUCGCGAAACGGAUCAAAGGUACGCUGGGGAUAACAGGCUGAUGCAUCCCCAGAGCUCUCAUCGACGGAAUCGUUUGGCACCUCGAUGUCGACUCAUCACAUCCUGGGGUUGAAGACGGUCCCAAGGGUUCGGUUGUUCGCCGAUUCUAUCAGUGGUACGUGAGUUGGGUUUAGAACGUCGUGAGACAGUUCGGUUCCUAUCUACCAUGGGAAUGCGAACGGAGAGGUACACGGCCUAGUACGAGAGGACUGGCUUCGGGGCCAACCCAUGUGUUUGUUGUUCAAAUCUUAAGAGAGUAUCUUAGCGACCUUCUUAUAGGUUCCAGCUGUGCAGCUACGUUGGUGGGGCUUCAAAGCCAUCUUACUGACUAUCUUAUAGUCUACCUUGUGAAGCGUUCGCGUACUAGCUUUUAUGAAAAGCUUCGACAAUAGGCGAGUUCGACGGCCUCACUCU
rnacentral:ncRNA from 1 species